AUAAUAUGACUCAUAGAACUUACAAGUAGGAUUUGGAUUUCAAAGGGAAGGUUACAGCAAUUAACACCUACUAGCCUGCUAUGAAGCCAGGCUGGUUUGUCUCUGACAGCCAAAUGCAACAAGUGUGAACAGUCAGUGACUACUGGGAAGGCCUUUGUUUCCCUGAAAGGAACACAAGGAAAUUUUUGUGACACUAUUUGAUCGUAACAUAUAAUUUAUUUAUCUUCUGCUAAAACUUAAAAAUAAAUCAAUAAAUAACAUUUUGAAAGGCUAAAUGCAUUUCUUCAACUGCAAAGUUAAAAGUGACAUGACAGGCUAUACUAGGAAAUGAUGUUGCUAUUCAUCUACCUCCAAAACACAUUUAUGAAAACAACUGAACAAUUAUAUACAUGUUAUGAAGAAGAAAUCACAGUUGCGUUUUUAAAGUUAAACCUGACUGCAGAAAACUGGACAAGAAAGAGAACUGUCAGAACAGCAAGGAAAUUUAGAAAGGCAUUGCCCCUCAUGAGCAAUUUUAUUUUAAAUCUUUGCUUCCUCACUUUUCUGAUGGCAUGGGAAUAACAUGGUAACAGUAGAGCAUCAGAAGAAAUGGUAGGGAGUGGAAAAGUUCAGAAUGAAAAAUCUGGAACAAAUGGAGAAACUCCAAAGCACUGGACAGU